AGUGAACGCUGGCGGUAGGCCUAACACAUGCAAGUCGAACGGCAGCACCGUAAGAGCUUGCUCUUACGGGUGGCGAGUGGCGGACGGGUGAGGAAUACAUCGGAAUCUACUUUUUCGUGGGGGAUAACGUAGGGAAACUUACGCUAAUACCGCAUACGACCUACGGGUGAAAGCAGGGGAUAUUCGGACCUUGCGCGAUUGAAUGAGCCGAUGUCGGAUUAGCUAGUUGGGGGGGUAAGGGCCCACCAAGGCGACGAUCCGUUUCUGGUCUGAGAGGAUGGCCAGCGACACGGGAAGGGAGACACGGUCCAGGCUCCUACGGGAGGCAGCAGUGGGGAAUAUUGGACAAUGGGCGCAAGCCUGAUCCAGCCAUACCGCGUGGGAGAAGAAGGCCUUCGGGUCGUAAAGCCCUUUUGUUGGGAAAGAAAAGCAGCAGGUUAAUACCCCGCUGUUCUGACGGUACCCAAAGAAGAAGCACCGGCUAACUUCGUG
rnacentral:rRNA from 1 species